rnacentral:rRNA from 1 species
GUAGGGGACCAAGCGUUAUCCGGAAUUAUUGGGCGUAAAGGGUGCGUAGGCGGCCAUGUAAGUCUAAGUUAAAAGCCCACAGCUUAACUGUGGAAGGUGCUUAGAAACUGUAUGGCUUGAAUUCAGAAGAGGCAAGUGGAAUUCUAUGUGGAGCGGUGGAAUGCGUAGAUAUAUGGAGGAACACCAGUGGCGAAGGCGGCUUGCUGGGCUGAUAUUGACGCUGAUGCACGAAAGCGUGGGGAGCAAACAGGAUUAGAUACCCUGGUAGUCCACGCCGUAAACGAUGAGUACUAAGUGUUGGAGAAAUUCAGUGCUGAACUUAACAGAUUAAGUACUCCGCCUGGGGAUUACGACCGCAAGGUUG